rnacentral:tRNA from 1 species
GAUCUUAUAUUUUAAAUAAAAUUUAAGGCUGCAAUUCUUAAGAUGCUGACAAAGCUAAGAUCU